rnacentral:tRNA from 1 species
ACCUGAGUGGCUCAGUCAGUAGAGCGUGUGACUCUUGAUCUCAGGGUUAUGAGUUCAAGCCCCAUGUUGGGUG